rnacentral:rRNA from 1 species
CCUACGGGAGGCAGCAGUGGGGAAUAUUGCACAAUGGGCGCAAGCCUGAUGCAGCCAUGCCGCGUGUGUGAAGAAGGCCUUCGGGUUGUAAAGCACUUUCAGCGGGGAGGAAGGCGGUGAGGUUAAUAACCUCAUCGAUUGACGUUACCCGCAGAAGAAGCACCGGCUAACUCCGUGCUAGCAGCCGCGGUAAUACGGAGGGUGCAAGCGUUAAUCGGAAUUACUGGGCGUAAAGCGCACGCAGGCGGUCUGUCAAGUCGGAUGUGAAAUCCCCGGGCUCAACCUGGGAACUGCAUUCGAAACUGGCAGGCUAGAGUCUUGUAGAGGGGGGUAGAAUUCCAGGUGUAGCGGUGAAAUGCGUAGAGAUCUGGAGGAAUACCGGUGGCGAAGGCAGCCCCCUGGACAAAGACUGACGCUCAGGUGCGAAAGCGUGGGGAGCAAACAGGAUUAGAUACCCUAGUAGUC